rnacentral:rRNA from 1 species
AUUGAACGCUUGCGGCAGGCCUAACACAUGCAAGUCGAGCGAGCGGCGGACGGGUGAGUAAUGUAUGGGGACUGCCCGAUAGAGGGGGAUAACUACUGGAAACGGUGGCUAAUACCGCAUACUAUCGGAUAACCCAUAUGGGAUUAGCUAGUAGGUGGGGUAAAGGCUCACCUAGGCGACGAUCUAUAGCUGGUCUGCGAGGAUUAUCAGCCCAACUGGAACUGAGACACGGCCCAGGCUCAUACGGAGGCAGAAGUGGGGAAGAUUGCACAAUGGGCGCAAGCCUGAUGCAGCCAUGCCGCCUGUAGGAAGAAGGCCUUAGGGUUGUAAAGUACUGUCAGCGGGGGGGCGUUACCCGCAGAAGAAGCACCGGCUAACUCCGUGCCAGCAGCCGCGGUAAUUC